rnacentral:rRNA from 1 species
GACGAACGCUGGCGGCGUGCUUAACACAUGCAAGUCGAACGGAAAGGCCCUGCUUGCAGGGUACUCGAGUGGCGAACGGGUGAGUAACACGUGGGUGAUCUGCCCUGCACUUCGGGAUAAGCCUGGGAAACUGGGUCUAAUACCGGAUAGGAGCCAUUUUUAGUGUGAUGGUUGGAAAGUUUUUUCGGUGUAGGAUGAGCUCGCGGCCUAUCAGCUUGUUGGUGGGGUAAUGGCCUACCAAGGCGGCGACGGGUAGCCGGCCUGAGAGGGUGGACGGCCACCUUGGGACUGAGGUACGGCCCAGACUCCUACGGGAGGCAGCAGUGGGGAAUAUUGCACAAUGGGCGCCAGCCUGAUGCAGCGACGCCGCGUGGGGGAUGACGGCCUUCGGGUUGUAAACUCCUUUCGCUAGGGACGAAGCUUUUUGUGACGGUACCUAGAUAAGAAGAACCGGCUAACUACGUG